GAAUGUGUGUUUGCAUAUGUGUCCUGCCUCUCUGCUCCAGCUGUUAAGAGGUCAGAGUUGAUCAGUGGCUGUCCAGGCCUUUCAGAGCCACUGACACACCAGCAGCACAAUGAUGAUGUCACUGACUCUACUGCUGACCAUCCUGGGGCUCCUGGUUCAGGGUUCAUUAGGAGACAUCAUCCUGACUCAGAAUCCUGGAUCUCAGUCUGUUGCUCCAGGACAGACUGUCUCACUAAAAUGUAAAACUAGUACAGGUGUAGGUGACUGGCUUUUCUGGUACCAUCAGAAACCUGGAGAGGCCCCAAAGCUCAUUAUACAAAGAGCAACUCUUCAUUCUGGAGUUCCAGCUCGUUUCAGUGGAAGUGGAUCUGGUUCUGACUUCACUCUGACCAUCAGUGGAGUUCAGGCUGAAGAUUCAGGAGUUUAUUACUGUCAGCAGGGUUAUGAAACACCGUUCACACAGUGAUAGAACGUCGUACAAAAACCUCCCUCAGCUGGAGAGGAAAUGGUCUGAUCAACAGAUGCACUGAAACUAAAACAGUAAAUG